UUGUAGAUGUUAAAAGCAAGAGACAUGGGAGAGCAUCAUUCCUUUGAGAUUUUAUAACUCAAACCAACUUUGGAGUUGUCUGAUUUGGAGAGUCAUUAUUCUUGGUCUUCGCUCUUAGAGGCCACUGAUGAAGAACAGGCGGUGACUGGGAUGAAUGCUGGUCAGAGAGGAGAAACUUUCCCCUAAACAGCAGUGGUUUUAAAGGAGGACGCUGCCCUGGAUGAUGUAGAUGUCACAUGCUGUGCUGAUGGGGUUUCUUCAUGAUUACAUCAGUUAUGCUAAAGAGAUCAUGAAAAUUGACUGUGAUGCAUGAUCUGUAUUCAUGGACAAUGAAACAAACUGUAAGUGUAUAAUUUGUUAAAAAAAAAAAAGUUAAAUGCUUUUUUCUGUGUUGUUUAGUAGAAGAGUUUACACUCUGUCAUUCAUACACCUGCUCACAUUCUUUCACACACACACACACACACACACAUGCGUCUGUUAAAUGUUAUAAUAUCAAAGUUAAUGUUGUGAUUUAUUUGUUUACUGUCAUGCCAGAAUAGUUGGAAAAAAACCUAACUAAUUGUAAAUUUAUUGUAUGUGUUUUCGUAUAUUUUUAUACAAUAUAUACAAUUGAACAAAGUCCAAUUUAAUCUUAAGUUAUAUUCAUCAAAUGUUCAAUGCUUUGUUUAUGAACUCUGUAGCUGUUAAUGCCAUCCAUUUCUGCAUUUCUUCUAACAUGUUACUUUUUGACUUUUCUCUUGUUUUUAAUAAAUAUUUUCCUUUUGGUA